rnacentral:rRNA from 1 species
AUUGAACGCUGGCGGCAGGCCUAACACAUGCAAGUCGAGCGAGCGGCGGACGGGUGAGUAAUGUCUGGGAAACUGCCCGAUGGAGGGGGAUAACUACUGGAAACGGUAGCUAAUACCGCAUACCAUCGGAUGUGCCCAGAUGGGAUUAACUAGUAGGGGGGGUAAAGGCGCACCUAGGCGACGAUCCCUAGCUGGUCUGAGAGGAUGACCAGCCACACGGGAACUGAGACACGGUCCAAACUCCUACGGGAGGCAUCAGGGGUGAAUAUUGCACAAUGGGCGCAAGCCUGAUGCAGCCAUGCCGCGUGUAUGAAGAAGGCCUUCGGGUUGUAAAGUACUUUCAGCGGGGAGGCGUUACCCGCAGAAGAAGCACCGGCUAACUCCGUGCCAGCAGCCGCGGUAAUAC